UACAGGGGGGGCAAGCGUUGUUCGGAAUUACUGGGCGUAAAGGGCUCGUAGGGGGCCAACUAAGUCAGACGUGAAAUCCCUCAGCUUAACUGGGGAACUGCGUCUGAUACUGGAUGGCUUGAGUUUGGGAGAGGGAUGCGGAAUUCCAGGUGUAGCGGUGAAAUGCGUAGAUAUCUGGAGGAACACCGGUGGCGAAGGCGGCAUCCUGGACCAACACUGACACUGAGGAGCGAAAGCCAGGGGAGCAAACGGG
rnacentral:rRNA from 1 species